ACUCCUACGGGAGGCAGCAGUGGGGAAUAUUGCACAAUGGGCGCAAGCCUGAUGCAGCCAUGCCGUGUGUGUGAAGAAGGCCUUCGGGUUGUAAAGCACUUUCAGUCGUGAGGAAGGUAGUGUAGUUAAUAGCUGCAUUAUUUGACGUUAGCGACAGAAGAAGCACCGGCUAACUCCGUGCCAGCAGCCGCGGUAAUACGGAGGGUGCGAGCGUUAAUCGGAAUUACUGGGCGUAAAGCGCAUGCAGGUGGUUUGUUAAGUCAGAUGUGAAAGCCCGGGGCUCAACCUCGGAAUUGCAUUUGAAACUGGCAGACUAGAGUACUGUAGAGGGGGGUAGAAUUUCAGGUGUAGCGGUGAAAUGCGUAGAGAUCUGAAGGAAUACCGGUGGCGAAGGCGGCCCCCUGGACAGAUACUGACACUCAGAUGCGAAAGCGUGGGGAGCAAACAGGAUUAGAUACCCUGGUAGGAUAGCG
rnacentral:rRNA from 1 species